rnacentral:sRNA from 1 species
UAGUCUAUAUUAUGUUCAGCUAUUGAAUUUCUCCUUGGAUCUGAUAUUGGAUAGCCUUAUCGUUGUCCUUGGUAGAUAUUCUUAAAGGAUUAUUUUGACCCCUGUUUAGGGGUCUCAGUUUCAAGUAUCAGAUUUAGGCUACAGGACUGAGAUUUUCAUCUCUGGUUUUCUGCCUGAUGUUUGAUUUACGAUACUGAGGUUCUGGAUUCCAGACUAAGGAGUGCUAUGUUCAGACCUGGUUAUACAGUUUGAAGUUGUGAACUUUGGUGCUACUUUGAACUCUGAUAUUAGGUGUCGGUGAGCAGUAUAUUGACUAGAAGAUAGUUUGGAAUUGUCCUGACAUUUGAACAUACAGUUUGAUGAGCUGUUUAAUGGAGUUGUUGUCUUGAAAGAUUGUGUGGUCAAUAUUAUUGAACCUUAUAAGUUAAGAUGUUCCUUGCACUAAAAUAAGAUUUGUAAGAUGAUCAACUAACCUUCACAGUCCAUAAUGAUUGCACUAGUUGAAUUCAGC